rnacentral:lncRNA from 1 species
AACAAACUGAUGAAAGAAUGAUCAAACCGAGGGAAUUCACUCAGAACUAACAAUAAUGAUAACGUGCUCCGACUGGUGCGGUUUAGGAACUGCUGGAAGGCUCUAGGGGAAUAAAGAUGGAAUGACUUCUAAUUUUUAGGUCCGUAUGAUUUGAAAUACUUGCACACAAACCGCGCGAAAGCGUUCCUGGAAAUCUCAGCCCAAAAAAGGACGUUUAGUAAUUUUAAAAGGGACUAUAGGAUGAAAAACAAUAGUUUUGGCAAUUAAAGUUUGAGAUUCGACGGUGUCGUAGAUCCGUUUGGUCAUCAGGUGUUACGAGCCACACCCAUGUCUAGCUAGAAUAGUAUGUCAGGCUCAGGUUAGAGUAGAAACGGGGAACAAACUGAUGAAAGAAUGAUCAUACCAAGGGAAUUCACUCAGAACUAUCAAGAAUGAUAACGUGCUCCGACUGGAGUGAUUUAGGAACUGCUGGAAGGCUCUAGGGGAAUAAAGAUGGAAUGACUUCUAAUUUUUACGUCCGUAUGAUUUGAAAUACUUGCACACAAAUCACGCAAAAGCGUUCCUGGAAAUCUCAGCCUAAAAAAGGACGUUUAGUAAUUCUAAAAGGGACUACAGGAUGAAAAACAAUAGUUUGGGCAGUUAAAAUUUGAGAUUCGACGGUGCCGUAGAUCCGUUUGGUCAUCAGGUGUUACGAGCGACACCCUUGUCUAGCUAGAAUAGUGUGUUAGGCUCAGACUAGAGAAGAAACGGGGAACAAAGUGAUGAAAGAAUGAUCAUACCGAGGGAAUUCACUCAGAACUAACAAGAAUGAUAACGUGCUCCGACUGGAGCGGUUUAGUAACUGCUGGAAGGCUCUAGGGGAAUGAAGAUGGAAUGACUUCUAAUUUUUAGGUCCGUAUGAUUUGAAAUACAUGCACACAAACCCUGAGAAAGCGUUCCUGGAAAUCUCGGUCGAAAAAAGGAUGUUUAAUAAUUCUAAAAGGGACUACCGGAUGAAAAACAAUAGUUUUGGCAGUUAAAGUUUGUGAUUCGAUGGUGCCGUAGAUCUGUUUGGUCAUCAGGUGUUACGAGCCACACCCAUGUCUAUCUAGAAUAGUGUGUUAGGCUCAGGCUAGAGCAGAAACGGGGAACAGACUUAUGAAAGAAUGAUCAUACCGAGGGAAUUCACUCAGAACUAACAAGAAUGAUAACGUGCUCCGACUGGCGCGGUUUAGGAACUGCUGGAAGGCUCUAGGGGAAUAAAGAUGGAAAGACUUCUAAUUUUUAGGUCCGUAUGAUUUGAAAUACUUGCACACAAACCGCACGAAAGCGUUCCUGGAAAUCUCAGCCUAAAAAGGAUGUUUAGUAAUUCUAAAAGGGACUACAAGAUGAAAAAUAAUAGUUUGGGCAGUUAAAAUUUGAGAUUCGACGAUGCCGUAGAUCCGUUUGGUCAUCAGGUGUUAUGAGCCACACCCAUGUCUAGCUAGAAUAGUGUGUUAGGCUCAGGCUAGAGAAGAAACGGGGAACAAACUGAUGAAAGAAUGAUCAUACCGAGGGAAUUCACUCAGAACUAACAAGAAUGAUAACGUGCUCCGACUGGAGCAGUUUAGAAACUGCUGGAAGGCUCUAAUGGAAUAAAGAUGGAAUGCCUUCAAAUUUCUAGGUCCGUAUGAUUUGAAAUACUUGCACACAAACCGCUCGAAAGCGUUCCUGGAAAUCUCAGCCCAAAAAAGGACGUUUAGUAAUUCUAAAAGGGACUACAGGAUGAAAAACAAUAGUUUUGGCAGUUAAAGUUUGAGAUUCGAUGGUGCCGUAGAUCCGUUUGGUCAUCAGGUGUAACGAGCCACACACAUGUCUAGCUAGAGUAGUGUGCUAGGCUCAGACUAGAGAAGAAACGGGGAACAAAGUGAUGAAAGAAUGAUCAUACCGAGGGAAUUCACUCAGAACUUACAAGAAUGAUAACGUGCUCCGACUGGAGCGCUUUAGUAACUGCUGGAAGGCUCUAGGCGAAUAAAGAUGGAAUGACUUCUAAUUUUUAGGUCCGUAUGAUUUGAAAUACUUGCACACAAACCACGCAAAACCGUUCCUAGAAAUCUCGGUCGAAAAAAGGACGUUUAGUAAUUCUAAAAGGGACUACAGGAUGAAAAACAAUAGUUUUGGCAGUUAAAGUUUGAGAUUCGAUGGUGCCGUAGAUCCGUUUGGUCAUCAGGUGUUACGAGCCACACCCAUGUCUAGCUAGAGUAGUGUGCUAGGUUCAGACUAGAGAAGAAACGGGGAACAAAGUGAUUAAAGAAUGAUCAUACCGAGGGAAUUCACUCAGAACUAACAAGAAUGAUAACGUGCUCCGACUGGAGCGGUUUAGGAACUGCUGGAAGGCUCUAGGGGAAUAAAGAUGGAAUGACUUCUAAUUUUUACGUCCGUAUGAUUUGAAAUACAUGCACACAAACCACGCAAAAGCGUUCCUGGAAAUCUCAGCCUAAAAAAGGACGUUUAGUAAUUCUAAAAGGGACUACAGGAUGAAAAAUAAUAGUUUGGGCAGUUAAAAUUUGAGAUUCGACGCUGCCGUAGAUCCGUUUGGUCAUCAGGUCUUACGAGCCACACCCAUGUCUAGCUAGAAUAGUGUGUUAGGCUCAGGCUAGAGAAGAAACGGGGAACAA